rnacentral:rRNA from 1 species
UACGUAGGAGGCGAGCGUUGUCCGGAUUUACUGGGCGUAAAGAGCGUGUAGGUGGUCGCGUUAGUCUGCCGUGAAAGCGCCUGGCUUAACCAGGCGAGGUCGGUGGAUACUGCGCGACUUGAGGACGGUAGAGGGGGGUGGAAUUCCCGGUGUAGUGGUGAAAUGCGUAGAUAUCGGGAGGAACACCAGUGGCGAAGGCGGCCCCCUGGGCCGCUCCUGACGCUGAGACGCGAAGGCCAGGGUAGCGAACGGGAUUAGAUACCCCGGUAGUCCUGGCAGUAAACGAUGAGCACUAGGUGUGGGGGGUAUCGAGCCCCUCCGUGCCGACGUUAACACAUUAAGUGCUCCGCCUGGGGAGUACGGCCGCAAGGUUAAA